UACAGAGGUCUCAAGCGUUGUUCGGAUUCAUUGGGCGUAAAGGGUGCGUAGGUGGCGCCGUAAGUCAGGUGUGAAAUCUCGGGGCUCAACCCCGAAACUGCACUUGAUACUGCGGUGCUCGAGUACUGGAGAGGAGAUUGGAAUUUACGGUGUAGCAGUGAAAUGCGCAGAUAUCGGGAGGAACACCAAUUGCGAAGGCAGCUCGCUGGGACGUCACUGACGCUGAGACGCGAAAGCGUGGGGAGCAAACAGG
rnacentral:rRNA from 1 species